rnacentral:rRNA from 1 species
AACACGUGAGUAACCUGCCCUUAACUUCGGGAUAAGCCUGGGAAACCGGGUCUAAUACCGGAUACGACGGACCACCGCAUGGCGGUCCGUGGAAAGCUUGAUGCGGUUUUGGAUGGACUCGCGGCCUAUCAGCUAGUUGGUUGGGGUAAUGGCCCACCAAGGCGACGACGGGUAGCCGGCCUGAGAGGGUGACCGGCCACACUGGGACUGAGACACGGCCCAGACUCCUACGGGAGGCAGCAGUGGGGAAUAUUGCACAAUGGGCGAAAGCCUGAUGCAGCGACGCCGCGUGAGGGACGAAGGCCUUCGGGUUGUAAACCUCUUUCAGCAGGGAAGAAGCGAAAGUGACGGUACCUGCAGAAGAAGCGCCGGCUAACUACGUGCCAGCAGCCGCGGUAAUACGUAGGGCGCAAGCGUUAUCCGGAAUUAUUGGGCGUAAAGAGCUCGUAGGCGGUUUGUCGCGUCUGCUGUG